rnacentral:miRNA from 1 species
UCUCGUUAUAUCUGACGUCGGGGAA